AUUGUAAUUCCCAUUACGUGCAAUGUGAUCAGUGCAAACUGUAUCGUCAAGAAACAUUAUUAUUUAAACAAGCCACACACUGGAUGAACCAAAACAAUUAUGUUGCAACCAGGGAGGAUAAGACAAAGAGAAUCGUAAUUUUGGAGCGCAGUAAAUAUGAUAUGUUUCUAGAAGGCUUUAUCAAAGACACAAAGGCGACCCUACUCAACAAAGAUCCAACCAUAAAAUUAGCAGCCCAAAUGAAUGCUUUGUCGAGGCAUAAAGAUUUCCCGAUGAUCUGGAAACAAAAUAACAGCACCCGCCUGCCCUAGACUGUUCGCAUAUAUUAAAACUCAUAAAAGCCCGAUUGUGGCCAGGCCUAUAGUCGAGAAGGACUCUCCAACAUUCAACCUUGAGAAAACACUUGGGAAAUGGUGCGCCGCUAUCUUGGGUUAGUCUGAAUUUUCCAUCAACGCAUGUUCAGAAGCACUUAAUAGGAUCAGGAUGUUGGAUUGGCAAGAAAAUGAC
rnacentral:lncRNA from 1 species